UGCUGAUGCAAAGAGGUUGUGCUGCUCUCCCAUGGAAAACUGGGCUCACCCAGCAGAUUUCCAGAGACAACAAAGGAACACAGCACUAAGCAAAACUGAACUUCAAUAGCACACAUUCGAGAGAAAAACACAUAAGAAUAGCACAAGGAAGGCGCACUUUAGAUGCAAUUGUUAUGCAAUAUGCAAGUGCGUCACUGGUUGCUAGGUAACAUCAUCGUCGAAGACUAAAAAACCAGAUGAAGAAA